GAUGAACGCUGGCGGCGUGCCUAAUACAUGCAAGUCGAGCGAACAGACGAGGAGCUUGCUCCUCUGACGUUAGCGGCGGACGGGUGAGUAACACGUGGAUAACCUACCUAUAAGACUGGGAUAACUUCGGGAAACCGGAGCUAAUACCGGAUAAUAUAUUGAACCGCAUGGUUCAAUAGUGAAAGACGGUUUUGCUGUCACUUAUAGCUGGAUCCGCGCCGCAUUAGCUAGUUGGUAAGGUAACGGCUUACCAAGGCGACGAUGCGUAGCCGACCUGAGAGGGUGAUCGGCCACACUGGAACUGAGACGCGGUCCAGACUCCUACGGGAGGCAGCAGUAGGGAAUCUUCCGCAAUGGGCGAAAGCCUGACGGAGCAACGCCGCGUGAGUGAUGAAGGUCUUCGGAUCGUAAAACUCUGUUAUUAGGGAAGAACAAAUGUGUAAGUAACUAUGCACGUCUUGACGGUACCUGAUCAGAAAGCCACGGCUAACUACGUG
rnacentral:rRNA from 1 species